rnacentral:rRNA from 1 species
CAGCGCCACGGGAAUACAGAGGGUGCAAGCGUUAAUCGGAAUUACUGGGCGUAAAGCGCGCGUAGGUGGUUUGUUAAGUUGGAUGUUAAAGCCCCGGGCUCAACCUGGGAACUGCAUCCAAAACUGGCAAGCUAGAGUACGGUAGAGGGUGGUGGAAUUUCCUGUGUAGCGGUGAAAUGCGUAGAUAUAGGAAGGAACACCAGUGGCGAAGGCGACCACCUGGACUGAUACUGACACUGAGGUGCGAAAGCGUGGGGAGCAAACAGGAUUAGAGACCCGCGUAGUCCCUGUCUCUUAUACA